rnacentral:tRNA from 1 species
GUCUCGGUAGCUCAGCGGUAGAGCACCCGGCUGUUAACCGGGUGGUCGUAGGUUCGAACCCUACCCGGGACG